UUAGGGUAUCACCUCCAAGUUCACUGACGUCUGGAAUGAGUUUUGUGGAGGAGCAAGCUAAAAUAAAAAUAAAAUGCCUAAGUGAUAAGUCCCACACGAAGGGUGGUGGUUCUGUUCACAUUGUUCAAACCCCACUCUGAGCCCACCUUGGUUGGCCAGCCGUUGGGGUGGAGGUGUAAAGCAGCAGUGAUGGGAGGUGGAAGGACUGUUGAGAGUUCACUCGGGUUAGAGCUCCCAGGAGGAGGGGGCACAGAGAGGAAAGCCUCGCCAGCCUCUCAGGGUCUCUGAUGACAAACUCCCCCCACUCCCCUCCCCAUCCGAUCGCCCCGCCCUCACCCCGCCCAAGGAGUUCCAACAGGAAGUGCCACAGCUGCACCUGUCUGGAACCAGGGACACAAUAUAAAGUGGGACCCUUACUUCUGCUCCAAUAUGGUGAGGGAAGGGAUCCUAUAGAGGCGUGACAGUUACACUGCAUCUGUAAAAAAUCAUCAUCGUCAUCUUUAUCUUCGUCGCCAUAAUCAUCAUCACUACCACGGUGAAGCCAUAUUUUCAAGAACAUCUGUAAAGUUGUUUGAUUAUCUUCAUUACCACAGUAAGGUAUUGAAAUAAGGUAUAUAAAUCACUUUCUUUCAUCUUUCUUUAUGAAGUGGAUGACAAAUGACAGUAACAGUCACAGCAGAAAUGCAGUCAAUAAUCAUAUUAGAAAACUUCAAAUGUAUAAAGAUUUGUUUCUAUAAAUGUCAAAUAUUUAUGUUAAGAUGUUACAAUAGCAAUCCAAUGUCAUCCUAAGCAGCUGAUUCCUCUUCACACUGAAGUAAUAUGAUUGCAUCAUCAUUGUUGAUGGCCUCCAAAAAUACCAUUCCACCAACCUAGACUGAAACGUGCAUUUAAUCAUGGGACAAA